UACGUAGGUGGCAAGCGUUGUCCGGAAUUACUGGGUGUAAAGCGCGUGUAGGCGGGAGGCCAAGUCUGUGGUGAAAUCGCCUGGCUUAACUGGGCGGGGUCCAUGGAAACUGGUCACCUGGAGGUCGGUAGAGGCAAGUGGAAUUCCCGGUGUAGUGGUGAAAUGCGUAGAGAUCGGGAGGAACACCAGUGGCGAAGGCGGCUUGCUGGGCCGGACCUGACGCUGAGACGCGAAGGCGUGGGGAGCAAGCAGG
rnacentral:rRNA from 1 species